rnacentral:rRNA from 2 species
UGCAAGUCGAGCGGACAGAAGGGAGCUUGCUCCCGGAUGUUAGCGGCGGACGGGUGAGUAACACGUGGGUAACCUGCCUGUAAGACUGGGAUAACUCCGGGAAACCGGAGCUAAUACCGGAUAGUUCCUUGAACCGCAUGGUUCAAGGAUGAAAGACGGUUUCGGCUGUCACUUACAGAUGGACCCGCGGCGCAUUAGCUAGUUGGUGAGGUAACGGCUCACCAAGGCGACGAUGCGUAGCCGACCUGAGAGGGUGAUCGGCCACACUGGGACUGAGACACGGCCCAGACUCCUACGGGAGGCAGCAGUAGGGAAUCUUCCGCAAUGGACGAAAGUCUGACGGAGCAACGCCGCGUGAGUGAUGAAGGUUUUCGGAUCGUAAAGCUCUGUUGUUAGGGAAGAACAAGUGCAAGAGUAACUGCUUGCACCUUGACGGUACCUAACCAGAAAGCCACGGCUAACUACGUGCCAGCAGCCGCGGUAAUACGUAGGUGGCAAGCGUUGUCCGGAAUUAUUGGGCGUAAAGGGCUCGCAGGCGGUUUCUUAAGUCUGAUGUGAAAGCCCCCGGCUCAACCGGGGAGGGUCAUUGGAAACUGGGAAACUUGAGUGCAGAAGAGGAGAGUGGAAUUCCACGUGUAGCGGUGAAAUGCGUAGAGAUGUGGAGGAACACCAGUGGCGAAGGCGACUCUCUGGUCUGUAACUGACGCUGAGGAGCGAAAGCGU